UACGGAGGGUGCAAGCGUUAUCCGGAAUCACUGGGUUUAAAGGGUGCGUAGGCGGUCUGUUAAGUCAGUUGUGAAAUUCCCUCGCUUAACGAGUGGGACUGCGAUUGAUACUGAUAGACUUGAAUCAGGUUGAGGUAGGCGGAAUGAGACAUGUAGCGGUGAAAUGCUUAGAUAUGUCUUAGAACACCGAUUGCGAAGGCAGCUUGCUGGACCUGUAUUGACGCUGAGGCACGAAAGCGUGGGGAGCAAACAGGAUUAGAUACCCUGGUAGUCCACGCCCUAAACGAUGUUUACUUGCUGUUCGGCCCUAGAGGCGGAGUGGCGAAGCGAAAGCGAUAAGUAAACCACCUGGGGAGUACGCCCGCAAGGGUG
rnacentral:rRNA from 1 species